rnacentral:lncRNA from 1 species
UCUCAAUUUUACUGUUGAAAAUGGUGAUGUUCUUAAAGCCUCAAAAGCAACUUGUCUGGUCGGCACCAUUUUGGUGAGUCAGGUUCCACUGGAUUGAAAGCUGACACCGAAAUAUCCCACCGAAUGGCUUUAAACAAAUCAUCUGGGGAUUGGUUUGGAAGGGCACUGUAAUAGCGAAGUCCUCACAUUUUCAUAGACGAAUGCUUCCCAGGCUUUCCUUAAGAAUAACAAGUUUCAGAAACAAAGUCUAGGGUUCUAACGUGUGGGAAAAAUGCCCUUUUACUGCCAGCUUUUUCUAGAUCUUUAGCUUCUUUCCUACACUUCCCGCCUCCUUUGUGCUGUGUGUAUAGAGGGUGCUUCACGUAGGCCUUUCUGACAGCCGUGCGGGCCUGUCUCCACCUGCCUACACUCGUCAGCACCUCUUGCCAAAGGGCCAGGAAGGAGGAACAGAUCUGCCUGCCCCCACUGCCGUCCCAAGCCGGGGCAGGCUCCGGAAAGGAAGGGCUGGGACUAACGAGCAGCUGUCGUCAUUGGAGGUCCGUGUCCUGCAUUCCAGGGCUGGUGUUGCCUCAGAGGUGGCCCUCAGCCCACAAGCCUCCAGGUCAGAGGUAGCUGUGAAACAGGAAAGACUACCGCAUAUAGCAGUGCAAUGUAUUCAUUGCACAAGGGUACCAGGUUGAGAGGGUAAGUGGGGACUGAAAUCCAGCCAAGCUGUGGUGCAUAGGAAGGGACUGAAUGCACCAGGAGGAGGAGCCUUUUUCUAAUGUGCACAAGCAUGCUGUAUGAGUUAGGGAUUCCCAGGUGACUCAGUGGUAAAGAAUCCACCUGCGAAGGAGAUCUGGGUUCUAUCCCGGGGUCAGGAAGAUUUCCUGGAGGAGGAAAUGGCAACCCACUCUGGUAUUCUUAUUUGGGAAAUACCAGGGACAGAGAAGCCUGCGGGCUACAGUCCGUGGAGUCGCAAAGAGUAGGACACAGCUGAGCUUGCAUGCAUGCUUUAUGAACUAGUGCUGGUACUGGUUCAUCCUGUAAGUUCAAACUCUAAUCCAUGCUUCAAUACCAGUUACCUGGACUGCCACCUUUAUCCUAUUAAAUAUUUGUAGCUUCUUAUAUCUUUGGUGGAACCAAGAACCUCAUUAAGAUUGAAGUUUGCCAUACUAAAUUUUUUUUUUAAUGCAUUUUCCUCACUAGGGAAGUCUUAAUUUUAGAAGCCAGAUUGGAAGCAAAUUUGGUGUAAGAGUUGGUGAGGCUGGAGGAAGAAUUCCUCUUUUUCCAAAGCAAUAGAAAAGAAGCAUUUCUUUGCUGUCUUUGCUCAAAGAUUUUAGCCUAAAUACAAGAGUCAUUUCAAAGAGUUUUCUGCUAACCCUCUGAAAGGCUUUCUUAUCUAUCUUGAGAUAACAGCCCAACUAACAGUCAAAAGUCCUAAUGCUCCAGGAGCUCUUUUCAUUUCCAGAUUCAGGUUUGGCAGCAGAGCACCAUGACUUGGGUGGAAGCUUUCUUGUGCAACUGUCACAGGGGGUGAAGAUGCUAACAGUAGUAGAAGAUUAGUGGAUGUACACUUUGUGAAUGGUGAGUCACUGUAUUUCCAUGGUUUCUUUUCAAACAAAAGUGAAAAUCCUCUUUUCAACUGUGUUCUUUUCCCCUCAGGUCCAUCGUUACACUAUCACUGCCUUAGUGAGACAAGAAAUAACCAUUUGAAGGAAGUCAAAUAGAGGCUUCCUUCUCCCAAGACAAACAACAUAAACUAUAAGGAAGAGGCAAACACACCCACUUUAUAGUUUUAUGCUCAGGCUAAGAGAAAAUGAAGACAUCAUAGGUCCUAACUGAUCAGGUACUAUUUUCUUCCCUCUACAAAGAAAGGAUUGGAAGGGAUGGGGAAUGCAGGAAGAGGCGGCAAAACAGUUCCAAGUUCCCUAAUAAAUUAACUUCCUCAGAGUUCCCUCCCUCUCCU